GUGAAUCAUCAAAUCUUUGAACGCAAAUUGCACUCCCUGGUAUUCCGGGGAGUAUGCCUGUUUGAGAUUCGUUAGAAAAAAAAUCGCGGCGUCGCUCUUUUUUUAAGGGUGAUCGCGUCGGAAUUUCGCAGUCUUUCAAAUGUUAGUUCGUGUAAAAUUAACUUGAAAUUCAUCCUUCCGGUACUAUUCAA
rnacentral:misc_RNA from 1 species